rnacentral:rRNA from 1 species
CACGUAGGGGGCAAGCGUUGUCCGGAUUUAUUGGGCGUAAAGAGCUCGUAGGCGGUUCAGUAAGUCGGGUGUGAAACCUCCAGGCUCAACCUGGAGACGCCACCCGAUACUGCUGUGACUGGAGUCCGGUAGGGGAGCGUGGAAUUCCUGGUGUAGCGGUGAAAUGCGCAGAUAUCAGGAAGAACACCGACGGCGAAGGCAGCUCGCUGGGACGGUACUGACGCUGAGGCGCGAAAGCGUGGGGAGCGAACAGG